CAGCAGCCCGAGUGGUGGUCGUUUUUAUUGGGCCUAAAGCGUCCGUAGCCGGUCUAGUAAAUCCUUGGAUAAAUCGUACAGCUUAACUGUACGGCUCCCGGGGAGACUGCUAGACUUGGGACUGGGAGAGGUCGGAGGUACUCCAGGGGUAGGGGUGAAAUCUUGUAAUCCUUGGGGGACCACCAGUGGCGAAGGCGUCUGACUAGAACGGGUCCGACGGUAAGGGACGAAGCCCUGGGGCGCGAACCGGAUUAGAGACCCGAGUAGUCC
rnacentral:rRNA from 1 species